GGGCCUGUAGCUCAGCUAGGUACGAGCGCUCGACUGAUAAUCGAGAGGUCGUGGGUUCAAAUCCCACCAGGCCCA
rnacentral:tRNA from 1 species